UUUUCUGUCAAUACUGAUUUUGGUGUGGGUGUGAGGAGGGCUGAGAAUGGCUGUGUUCUUUUGGAUUCUCCCACACUUGGGGAAUUUUUCCUUAGGCAACUUUGGAUGGAUCCAUGCUGGGCCUUUGAGGAUUGAGCUCAGAAGAGGAGAUUGAAAAGCAAUCUUUUUUCAUCACCAAAUGAAAAUGCAAAGAGAUAUGUUUGUGGAACAGAAUGUAAUUAACCAAAGUGGAAUUGGGCCAACUAAGCAGCAUUAACAGGCUAAAUGUGUCCCCAGUUCUUGGAGCCUUCCGAAGAUGGGCUCAUUCUUGACUGCAUGAAGAAAAGCUAAAGCAUCUACAAGAGUCUAAAAUGGGUAAAUGGAAGACUUGAAAGGAGAAAAACAGCUCAAUUCUCUCACAAACUAAAGAUGACAACUAAGGCUAGCCACCCCUUCCCCAAACUGAAAAUCCAUGUGACUAAUUUUUAUAAGCAGUCACUGGAAUGUUCCUGCUGGGAAUAGGACAGAUAAUAUAUGUAGCUGGCACUCUCACUCAGGAGGAACUAUUGUUCCAUUUGGGGAGUGGAAGCCAACUCCCUUCAAGACUUAAAGAAAAGCUAAUUUAAGACAUGGCUAAAAGCAACCGAAAUGAGAAAGGGGAAAAAAAUCUCAAGUUUCUGUGCAGUGUGCCAGCUGACCAAAUGUAAAGUAAAACAAAACAAUUAACCCCCAACCCCUGCGAAAAAGAAAAAAAAAUCGAGAGAAAAAAAAGAAUGAAGCAUUUGUCAUUGGACUUGCUCUGUGCUCAUUUUGGCUUGCUUCAGAUACUUUUCCAAGUUUAAAUUGGAAAGUUUAUGACUUUCAGGUGCAGAAAUAUUCUUUUCUAGGUGUCAUUUCUGUCUAUUUCUACCAAGCCUUUUUAAUAAGAAAUCAAAGAAAUGGUCACUUAAGGAAAGAAAAAAGGAUACAAAUGAUGGCUGACCCCCAUGAUAAAAGUAUGUGAACUCUGCACAUACUGGCUCCCUUUCUGCUUCUGCCUGGAAGCAACCUGAAGCCUUCACCAGAAGUACACCAUGCUUCUUCUACAGCCCACAGAACCAAAAGCCAAAUAAACCUCAUGUAUAUAUCAUAUCAUUUGUGUUGCCAUAGAGGAAUACCUGAAGAUGUGUAAUUUAUAUAUUUGCGUAUAUAUAUAAAGAUAUGUAAAAUAAUAUAUAAUAUAUAUUAUAUAAUAUAUCAUAUAUUUAUAUUAUAUAAUUUAUAUUAUAUUAUAUUAUAUAUUAUAUAAUAUAUACUAUGAUAUAAUAUAUAACAUAUAAUAAAAUUAUAUAAUAUUUAUAAUAUAUAUAAUAUAUUAUAUAUAUCAUAUAAUUAUAUGAUAUAUAUAAUAUAUUAUAUAUUAUAUAACAUAUUAUAUACUAUAUAAGAUUAUGAUUAUAAUUAUAUAAUUAUAAUUAUAUAAUUAUAUAAUUACAUGAUUAUAAUUAUAUGAUUAUAUAAUUAUGAAUAUUAUAGUAAUAUAUAAUAUAUUAUAUAUAGUAAUAUAUAAUAUAUUAUAUAUAGUAAUAUAUAAUAUAUUAUAUAUAGUAAUAUAUAAUAUAUUAUAUAUAGUAAUAUAUAAUAUAUUAUAUAUAAUAUAUGUUAUGUAUAAAAUAUAUUAUAUAUAUAAAAUAUAUAUAAAAUAUAUUAUAUACAUAAAAUAUAUAUAAAAUAUAUAUAUAAAAUAUAUUAUAUAUAAUAUAGUAUAAAAUAUAGUGUAUUAUAUAUAGUGUAUUAUAUAUACUAUAGUAUAUAUACUAUAGUGUAUUAUAUAUACUAUAGUAUAUAUACUAUAGUGUAUUAUAUAUACUAUAGUAUAUAUACUAUAGUGUAUUAUAUAUACUAUAGUAUAUAUACUAUAGUGUAUUAUAUAUACUAUAGUGUAUUAUAUAUACUAUAGUAUAUAUACUAUAGUAUAUUAUAUAUACUAUAUAAUAUAUACUAUAGUAUAUUAUAUAUACUAUAUAAUAUAUACUAUAGUAUAUUAUAUAUACUAUAUAAUAUAUACUAUAGUAUAUUAUAUAUACUAUAUAAUAUAUACUAUAUAAUAUAUAAUUGUUGUAGGGGGAAGGGCAUAGACUUUGGGAAUAUAAUGGUGCUGUAGUUUGGAUAUUUGACCCUCCAAAUCUCCUGUUGAAAUUUGACCCUCAGUGUUUAUAUAAUAUAUAAAAUACAUUAUAUUAUAUAAUAUAUAAAAUACAUUAUGUUAUAUAAUAUAUAAAAUACAUUAUGUUAUAUAAUAUAUAAAAUACAUUAUGUUAUAUAAUAUAUAAAAUACAUUAUGUUAUAUAAUAUGUAAAAUACAUUAUGUUAUAUAAUAUAUAAAAUACAUUAUGUUAUAUAAUAUGUAAAAUACAUUAUGUUAUAUAAUAUGUAAAAUACAUUAUGUUAUAUAAUAUGUAAAAUAUAUUAUGUUAUAUAAUAUAUAAAAUAUAUUAUGUUAUAUAAUAUGUAAAAUAAUAUGUUAUAUAAUAUGUAAAAUAUGUUAUGUAAUAUGUAAAAUAUAUUAUGUUAUGUAAUAUGUAAGAUAUAUUAUGUUAUGUAAUAUGUAAGAUAUAUUAUGUAAUAUGUAAGAUAUAUUAUGUUAUGUAAUAUGUAAGAUAUAUUAUGUUAUGUAAUAUGUAAGAUAUAUUAUGUUAUGUAAUAUGUAAGAUAUAUUAUGUUAUGUAAAAUGUAAGAUAUAUUAUGUUAUGUAAUAUGUAAGAUAUGUUAUGUAAUAUGUAAAAUAUAUUAUGUUAUGUAAUAUAAAAUAUAUUAUAUUAUAUAAUAUAUUUUAUAUAUUAUAUAAUAUAAUAUAUAAAGUAUAUUAUAUAAUAUAAUAUAUAAAGUAUAUUAUAGUAUAUAAUAUAUAAAGUAUAUUAUAUAAAAUAUAAAGUAUAUUAUAUUAUAUAAAAUAUAGUAUAUUAUAGAAUAUAUGAAAUAUAUUAUAUUAUAGAAUAUAUGAAAUAUAUUAUAUUAUAGAAUAUAUGAAAUAUAGUAUAUUAUAGAAUAUAUGAAAUAUAGUAUAUUAUGGAAUAUAUGAAAUAUAGUAUAUUAUGUAAUAUAUGAAAUAUAGUAUAUUAUGUAAUGUAUGAAAUAUAUUAUGUAAUGUAUGAAAUAUAGUAUAUUAUGUAAUGUAUGAAAUAUAGUAUAUUAUGUAAUGUAUGAAAUAUAUAUUAUUUAAUGCAUGAAAUAUAUUAUAUUAUGUAAUGCAUGAAAUAUAUUAUAUUAUGUAAUGUAUGAAAUAUGUAUUAUGUAAUGCAUGAAAUAUAUUAUAUUAUGUAAUGUAUGAAAUAUAUUAUGUAAUAUGUGAAAUAUAUAUUAUGUAAUAUGUGAAAUAUAUAUUAUGUAAUGUAUGAAAUAUGUAUUAUGUAAUGUAUGAAAUAUAUUAUAUUAUGUAAUGUAUGAAAUAUAUUAUGUAAUAUGUGAAAUAUAUAUUAUGUAAUGUGAAAUAUAUAUUUUGUAAUAUGUACAAUAUAUUAUAUUAUGUAAUAUGUACAAUAUAUUAUGUUAUGUAAUAUGUACAAUAUAUUAUAGUAUGUAAUAUGUACAAUAUAUUAUAUUAUGUAAUAUGUACAAUAUAUUAUGUAAUAUGUACUAUAUAUUUUAUGUAAUAUAUACAAUAUAUUAAAAUAUAUAUAAAAUAAGAAUAUACAUAAAAAUAUAUAAAUUACCCAUCUGCAGUUAUUCUUCUGUGGCAACACAAAUGAUAUACAUAAGAGGUUUAUUUGGCUCACAAAAAGACACUGCUGUGGGUCAUGCACUGGCUAUAUAAAAAUGGAGAAGACAUAACCUAUGCCUUCAAAAUAAUAGCAGUGUAGUGGAAAAAAACAGAGAGUUAAAUCAAAUGUUUAGGUUGAGAAAUACCAUAAUAAAGGUAUACACUAAGUGUUAGGGGAACAGAGAAGAGGAGAUUCAGAAUAAGACAACAUUUUUGGAUGAGAAGAUACUUUACUAUUAUGAUGUAGACUCAGUGUGAGACAGGAUGCAAAGUUCCAGAAUAAUGUGUCUGUUUGAAGAAAGUUGCCAAACUCCUGCUUAUGGCUAUUGCAAAAAUUAGAACUAGUAACUGAGUAUUAAAUUCUCCAUUUUAAGAUUUAAUUUUCUAAUAAAUGCUUUUGUAGUUUCUAAAAUAUAUAGCUAUGUGAUAAAACUGCCUAUAAGACUUCCAGAUCUGACCCACUUUCAAAGUACUUUUCUGUCAUUUAUUUCACUCCAAUUUGCUGAGAAAAUCAGUUGACUAGUGUGAAGUUAAUUUUGUUUUUGAUAAGGUUAAAAUGACUUCUUUUUUGGGGGCUUUGAAAUCCCUGGGAACUAUUUUUCUAAACUCUGAUUUAAUCCAUUUAUAUUUGGUCAGUGUUUGUGUUUCAUCUUUUUGUUAAGUGAUUUUAAACAAGAACUCAUAAUUUGUGCAUAUGUGUAUUUAUAUAUGAUGUAUAUCAGCAUAUAUCUCUUUUUUUCUUAAAAAGAAAAUAGAAAGAUUAUGUUUGUAUAGGCUGCUAUUAACCCAAUAUGUGAGCAUGAUGUCAAAAAUGUUUUUCCUUACAGAUUCUACUAAAAUGGCAAGACUUUCCUGAAAUAACAUUUAGUAUUUGUUUUUAAAACAAACCCCUGGGUUUAUUUUGUAAAAACUCAUGAAUUUUUUUAUUCAUCUCGUAUCCUUUUGAGGGCUGCUCUAUGCCAAAGGAAAUAAGAUUAAAGCAACACAGGAAGAGUUCUGGUUGGCAAUAAGACACAAUGGAUAUAUCUUGCGUGGGAUUUGAAAGGAGGAGUAGAAAAAUCUACAUGAGUACUCUUGGGGGAAAAGAGUGCCAAGAACAUGCACUGGGGAAAGGACAUCCUCUUCAAUACUCCAUUAAUGGCUGGGCCUGGUGGCUCAUGCCUGUAAUUCCAGCAGUUUGGGAGGCUGAGGUGGGCAGAUCACAAGGUCAGGAGUUCGAGACCAGCCUGGCAAAUAUGGUGAAACCCUCUCUCUACUAAAAAUACAAAAAUUAGCUGGACGUGGUGGCACGCAGCUGUAGUCCCAGCUACUCAGGAGGCUGAGGCAGAAGAAUCAUUUGAACCUCAAAGGCAGAGGUUGCAGCGAGCAGAGAUCGCACCACUGCACUCCAGC
rnacentral:lncRNA from 1 species